GAUCACUGAGGGUCAGUUUGUGGCCUUCCCCUGGAGGAACCUUUCCUGUCUCUUGUAUGAGAAAAGUGAGGCACAGAGCUUUGGGGUGACUUUUCUAAGCGAACACAGCAAGUAACGUGGCAGAGCCAGGAAGAUAACAUGGGAAUCCUGGAUCCCAGUCCCGUGCUCUAACCGCUAGGAAACGCUACCCCUCUGAAUACACAGCUCUCU